rnacentral:lncRNA from 10 species
CUCGAACUCCUGACCUCAGGUGAUCCACCUGCCUCAGCCUCCCAAAGCGCUGCGAUUACAGGCAUGAGCCACUGUGCCGGGCCUGGCUUUCUCUUUCACCCAAGAAAACCUAUUGUUACAUUGCAUCAGUAGACACAUCUGCUUUUUAUAAAAUUAAAGAGGAGAAUGUUAGUGCUUUCAUCCUAGAAAAGGCAACUACUACGCCCAAAGAAAAAAGGAAAUUUCAGAGCAACAGAGGCAAAUCAGUGAGCUACUGAAAACACAACGGAGCUCUUCCAACUUUCUCAGUGCUCUUUCCUACCACCCUCCAUUCAGAUCAAAUGCAAAAGCAGAAGGAACAGCCAUGUUAACCCUUCAUUUCUUCUAAGAUCCAAAUGAGGGCUUCAUAUGAUCACUGUCUUUAGAUACGCUGGGAUUCAUACGUCCAUCACCCAAAGGACAAGUCUAACUCAGUGUUCUAUUCCUUUUUUGGUUCUUUUCUUUGCAAGGGAAGUGAAAAGUAGGCAAAUGUUAGUGAGUGUCCUGUAGAAAUAACUCAACUGAGAUUUAACCCCAUUGCGCACUCCAAAAUGGCUAAGGUGCUUAAAAAUGGCUUUCAGCGUGAAAAUUCUAUUCCUGCAUCCUUGUUUUCACCAUUAAAGACAAAACACUGCUGGCCAGGCGCGGUGGCUCACGCCUGUAAUCCCAGCACUUUGGGAGGCCGAGGCGGGUGGAUCACAAGGUCAAGAGAUCGAGACCAUCCUGGCCAACAUGUUAAAACCCCGUCUCUACUAAAAACACAAAAAAUUAGCUGGGCAUGGUGGCACACGCCUGCAGUCCUAGCUACUCGGGAGGCUGAGGCAGGAGAAUUGCUUGAACCCAGGAGGCAGAGGCUGCAGUAAGUUGAGACUGCGCCACUGCACUCCAGCCUGGGCGACAGAGCGAGACUCUGUAUCAAAAAAAAAAAAAAUACUGCUUCAUGUAUUAACAAUAUGCUUUUCAAGCUUUAUCAAAAUUAUUAUGUAAUAAUGACUGAUGCUUAUACAGCCAAAGACCUGAAACAAAUAAUUCAGUUUAUUUGAAAAAGAAAAUAGGCCAGGCACAGUGGCUCACGUCCGUAAUCCUAAUACUUUGGGAGGCUAAGGCAGGAAGAUUACCUGAGGCCAGGAAUUUGAGACCAGCCUGGGCAACAUAGUGAGACUCCUCUCUACAAAAAAUUUUAAAAUUAGCCAGGCAUGACCUAUAAUCCUAGUUACUCAGGAAGCUGAGGCAGGAGAAUCAGUCAACCCCAGGAGGUUGAGGUUGCAGUGAGCUAUGACUGCACCACCACACUUCAGCGUGGGCAAGAGCGAGACUCUGCUUCUAUUAAAAAAAAAAAAAAGAAGAAGAAGAAGAAGAAAAUAAAUUUACACCUAUCACAAGAAGUCUGACAAGUAAGUACCACUAAAAUUGUCACCCUUCAUGGACAGACAUGAGGAUUUACAUGCUUCUGAGACGCAGGAGUAGUACACCUAGUGUUAUCACACGGGCCUUUCUGGCACAAAACUUGUACCAACGAGUUUCUCCCAUUCUCAAAAGUUUCAGUUAAAAAUAUGUAACUUCAUAAUUAAUGUUUUAGGAACUUAAUUUAUAGUAAGUCAAUAAAACAAGCUAUAAGAACAGAUAUAUAAUAAUUUCCACUUCAAAGGAACUCUUCAUGGCUAUGUUUCCCUGGUAAGAGUUUCUUCUAGCAUCAUUAGUUAUUACACAAGUUUCUGCUCAUAUUCAAAGAAAAAAGAGCUUACCUCAAUCCCUCAGCCCCAAC